rnacentral:rRNA from 1 species
UGUAAAAUUUUAAGGGUCGAACAGACCCAAUAUUUUAGCUUCUACACCAAAAAUUUAUUUUAAUCCAACAUCGAGGUCGCAAUCUUUUCUUUUAAUAUGAACUCUCUAAAAAAAUUACGCUGUUAUCCCUAAGGUAAUUUUAUCUUAUAAUCAAAACUAUUGGRUCAUUUAAUCAUAAAUUAAUGAUUUAAAAUAAAAAAAGUUAAUUAAAUUUUUUAAUCACCCCAAUUAAAUUAUUAAAUAAAUCAAAUAAAUUAAUACUAAAAUAUAAUUUUUAUUUAAUAAUUAAACUCUAUAGGGUCUUCUCGUCUUUUAAAAACAAUUAAGCUUUUUAACUUAAAAAUAAAAUUCUAAUUAAAUUAAAUAGAGACAGCUAUUUUCUUAUCCGACCUUUCAUUCCAGUUUUUAAUUAGAAAACUAAUGAUUAUGCUACCUUAGCACGGUCAAAAUACCACGGCCAUUUAAAAUCUCAGUGGGCAGGUCAAACCUUAAAUUAUUACCAAAAGGAC